AGUUCCCACCUCAUGUUCUUUGGUAGUGACUCAUGGCCAACUGCAAGAAGAGAUGAAGAGAAAGGUCAGCUUGAUCCCUGCAACAGCUGGCAUACACUGCCCAGUCCUCAGAGACCCUCUCCGCUUACCUAGGCUGGAAAGGAGAGGUAGGCCUCAGGCAGAAGCUCUUGUCUCACUGGAGGAAGAGGGAGGAGGGGAGGACCUGACUUUCUUCGUGAGGACCCUCUGUCCUGUGGGACCUGAUUAAUUGGCUGUUCAUCCCAAGCUCUUCUUGAGUCUCAUUCCUCCAAGGGGAGACCAGAAUCAGUGAAACAGUGGAGGAAAAGUUAAAUCAUGUUGUUCUUAUCUAAUUCAGAGCACUGCAUAUGCUGCAUGCUUUCGCUUUAUCCUGUUGUCAGAACUUGGCAAGUCUUAUUCUGGUUCCCAGGCUUCCUGUCCAGCUGUACCUUCUCCAAACUGAAAACAAUCUUCUUCAGCCUCUCACGGUACUUUGGACUGGCUACCCAUCCUCAAGGUCCUGAGUUCAAAAACCCAUGGUCUUUAGAGGGUGAAAUGAAAACUUUAGUUCUCAGUACUGUACCUGUGAAAAUCCUGGGAAAAGAGUAUUGAAGGGUUUUUGAUCCAUGCAACUCUGUGUGAUAACAAUCCUUAAAACAAUUUGGCUUUUAUAUGGUAAUUACACACACUGUAAGUCAAUGAGAAUGUAUAAGAAAUGGUAUUUGUUUAGAUGUGUAAUAUGAUUAAUCAUCAACAUUUCAGAGUAGGGGGUAAGAAGACCAAAAGCAGAUAUUGUCUACAUGUCGAUGAGGCUAUUCAGAAUAGUAACAUUUUUAUUUGUUCCACACUGUAAUAUGCAAAUAUUUCAGUUCAGCAGAGUUCUAGGUCAUAUACUGUUUUCUUAAGGUUUAUUGAAAGAUCAAGAAUCAGAUUUGGAGAAAAGCAGUAGAGUUUAUUGUAGUGCAGAUGAAGAACAAUACUGUCCUCUGUGAUGUUCAGUCUUUCAGCCAGAAGUUACAGCUAGUCAGAUGUCACACGGAAAUAGAGUGCAAUUAUAUACCUGCUAUCCUAAUCCACUGCAUUGCUUUAUUAUUAAGUAUUAUUAUUAUUCAGAUACUAUGCUGCCUGCAGUUCAUAGAUACUGAAAGGAGUUUCAAGACAGAUAUAGUCAAAUGUUCUCAGUAUAAGACUGAGGGCCAAAAAUUUCAGCUCUAUUAGUGAUUUGCUCCAUGGCUUUGGACAAAAUAUCCAUUUCCCCUUCAUUCUUUCUGUAAAAGAAGGCCAAUAUUUGUGUCUCUUGGGAUGUUGUGAGAUUAAAAUUUUUUUUGUAUGCACAAAUUCUUCUGUAGAUAAAAAGGUCCAAGUCUUAUUUCACAAUUGCCUUGCAAUUACAGUACAAACAGAGCAGACUCUAUCUCUUCUAAGAAAGGGAUAAACAGCUUGGAACUCAGCAAGUAUUCUAUCCAGCUAGAACAAAUACAAUUUUGCAGUCCAUUGAUUUCAAUUUACAAUGCCAAGUUUUAUUUGAUUUUUUUUUUUAAUAUCUAUGUGCCACGACACCAACUUCCUUUUUUUUCUUUUUAAAUGAAAUGUCACUGGCACUUGGUCCUCAUUAUCCUAGCAACAUUUUAGGUAAGUUAAGACAAGGAUCAGAAGAUGAACAAAACAGUACCGUGUGGAGCAGUUUUGAUGAUGCAGCCCAAAAUUGUUUUCUUCUUAUUUAACUCUAACACAUAUGUGAGAGAAUUUAGGAUUUCUGAGCACAUUGGACUACUACAUAGCUGUAUGGACUAAGAAAGGAGGUCACACACAUGUGGUUGAGGCCAGAGCUUAACAUCUGUAUCCUAGUUGUUAUUUAAUGACUUUUAGCACCAUAAUGUUAACAAAUAAAUGAAUGCUAUUUGGGACA
ensembl:lncRNA